rnacentral:rRNA from 1 species
UACGUAGGUGGCAAGCGUUAUCCGGAAUUAUUGGGCGUAAAGCGCUCGCAGGCGGUUUCUUAAGUCUGAUGCGAAAGCCCACGGCUCAACCGUGGAGGGUCAUUGGAAACUGGGAGACUUGAGUGCAGAAAGAGGAGAGUGGAAUUCCACGUGUAGCGGUGAAAUGCGUAGAGAUGUGGAGGAACACCAGUGGCGAAGGCGACUCUCUGGUCUGGUAACUGACGCUGAGGAGCGAAAGCGUGGGGAGCAAACAGGG